rnacentral:tRNA from 1 species
GACCCGCGCCGGCCCGGUUUGGCAGGCGUGGCCCGCUGGCGUCGGGCCAGGUCAUCCGUAUGAUCCUCGUGCCGCCGGAUGC